rnacentral:rRNA from 1 species
UACAGAGGUCUCAACCGUUGUCCGGAUUUAUUGGGCGUAAAGAGCGCGCAGGCGGUCGUUCAAGUCGAGUGUGAAAGCCCCCGGCUCAACUGGGAGGGUCACGCGAUACUGAUCGACUCGAAGGCAGGAGAGGGAAGUGGAAUUCCCGGUGUAGUGGUGAAAUGCGUAGAUAUCAGGAAGAACACCCGUGGCGAAGGCGGCUCUCUGGUACGUGACUGACGCUGAGACGCGAAAGCGUGGGGAGCGAACAGG